GAUGAACGCUGGCGGCGUGCCUAAUACAUGCAAGUCGAACGAAAAGACGAUAAGAUCGCGCGCUUGACGUUAGCGACAGAGGGGUGAGUGACGAAUGGGUGAGCAACAUGUGAGCCUGGGGUCACAACGAGGGGCAUAACACAAGAACACAGGAUAUAUUACACCAUAACGAUCAAUAGUGCAUGGAAACUAUGUAAACGGUGGUAGUAGGACCCGCGUCGCAUUAGCUAGUUGGUAAGGUAACGGCUUACCAAGGCAACGAUGCGUAGCCGACUUGAGAGGGUGAUCGGCCACACUGGAACUGAGACACGGCCCAGACUCCUACGGGAGGCAGCAGUAGGGAAUCUUCCACAAUGGGCGAAAGCCUGAUGGAGCAACGCCGCGUGAGUGAAGAAGGUCUUCGGAUCGUAAAACUCUGUUGUUAGGGAAGAAAAAGCGUGUGAGUAACUGUGCACGUCUUGACGGUACCUAAUCAGAAAGCCACGGCUAACUACGUG
rnacentral:rRNA from 1 species